rnacentral:rRNA from 1 species
UACGUAGGGGGCUAGCGUUGUCCGGAAUCAUUGGGCGUAAAGCGCGUGUAGGCGGUUCGGUAAGUCCGCUGUGAAAGUCGGGGGCUCAACCCUCGGAUGCCGGUGGAUACUGUCGGACUAGAGUACGGAAGAGGCGAGUGGAAUUCCUGGUGUAGCGGUGAAAUGCGCAGAUAUCAGAAGGAACACCGAUUGCGAAGGCAGCUCGCUGGGACGUUACUGACGCUGAGACGCGAAAGCGUGGGGAGCAAACAGG